rnacentral:rRNA from 1 species
UACAGAGGGGGCAAGCGUUGUUCGGAAUUACUGGGCGUAAAGGGCGCGUAGGCGGCCUUCUAAGUCGAACGUGAAAUCCCCGGGCUCAACCCGGGAACUGCGUCCGAUACUGGAAGGCUUGAAUCCGGGAGAGGGAUGCGGAAUUCCAGGUGUAGCGGUGAAAUGCGUAGAUAUCUGGAAGAACACCCGUGGCGAAGGCGGCUCUCUGGGACGGUACUGACGCUGAGACGCGAAAGCGUGGGGAGCGAACAGG